rnacentral:rRNA from 1 species
UACGAAGGGGGCUAGCGUUGCUCGGAAUCACUGGGCGUAAAGGGUGCGUAGGCGGGUCUUUAAGUCAGGGGUGAAAUCCUGGAGCUCAACUCCAGAACUGCCUUUGAUACUGAGGAUCUUGAGUUCGGGAGAGGUGAGUGGAACUGCGAGUGUAGAGGUGAAAUUCGUAGAUAUUCGGAAGAACACCAGUGGCGAAGGCGGCUCACUGGACCGGCAUUGACGCUGAGGUGCGAAAGCGUGGGGAGCAAACAGG